ensembl:lncRNA
AAAGAAUACAGAGUAGCAGGCAAUAAAGGAAAUGAUCAACAGAAGAAACAAGCAACUUAGAUGAGAAACACAGUAAGCACUAAGGAUGAAGAGACAGCAUAAAAGGAGAAAGACAGGAAACAAGAAUGCUUUGUGUUGCACCUCUUACAGUCUGUCAAAUUCUGCUAUUUCUUUCUGAGACCCGCUUAUUGCACUGCCUCACAUGUGGGGGUAUUAAGCAACAUUGUCUAAAUUCAGGUCAAGUAGCCACUGACCUCGUUUGCUUGAAAUUCUGAAAUCUUUCUGACUGAAACAUAUCACAGAAUCUGUUAUCCCAGUUUUGCCCACUGACUCUUCCCCUUUGUUGGAUAUCACAAGCUUGAGUCUGGAUUCAUCUUUUCAUCCUCCCGUCAGGGUCAAAGCAUUGUCAACAUGAUCUUUAACCACGACCUGAGCUGAGUUAAACUCUUAGGAUAUGACAUCUCAGCCACGUUGCAAGGUGAUGUGAACAUUCUAAUUUUCAUCUCUGCACUGACAGAGCAUAAUAUCCAGACAGGAGUCUUCAUAGCAAUGCGAGAGUAAGCAUUGCUCAAUAAGCAAUUAUUUUAUGUGGACCUGUGGACUGUCACUGCGGUCUUCAGAGCAACUAAUCUUGAAAUCACCUUUAAAUGUUGAACCUAAGAAAUCAGUUCAGUUUUGCUCUCAGGGAAGGCACAGUAGUUCUGUUAUUGCUGAAAUUCCUGAAAGCAGAAUGCAUUACCUAUGAUUCCUGCAAUGAAGAUUUUCAAUUUCAUUGUAAUAAAAAUCUUACAUUAUAAAACCGUAAAGAAAUAAAGACUUUCACAUGGAAAGAACUGCUUCAUAUUUUAGGAGUUCUAAUUUUUCUAUAUUUGAAUGCAAACCUAUUUCAUAUCUAGUGAAGCAGUUCACAUGGUAGGUCAUUUGGUUUUGCUUUUUUUCCAUAUUUACUCAUUAGAAGACAAUGAUGGGUACAGAAAAGCAACCUAAACUAACAGUCUUAAAC